rnacentral:rRNA from 1 species
AGAGAGCGACGGGCGAUGUGUACACACCUCAGAGCUCAUUUCAAAUAAGAAUUUUAUUCUUAAUUUACUACUAAAUCCACCUUCAUAAUUCGUAUUACACUAAUUAAUCCGUAUAAUUCUAUAUUAUUGUAACCCACUACUCCCAUGAUUAUAAGCUGCACCUUGACCUGAAGUCCCAAUUAAAUAUUAAUUAGAUUAUAUUUUUUAAAAAUAAUCUGACAACGGCGGUAUACAAACUGAAAACAAAAACAUGUACAUUAAAACGUGGAUUAUCGAUCCAAGAGCAGGUUCCUCUAGUAAGAGUAAGAUACCGCCAAAUUCUUUAGGUUUUUAAAAUUCUACUACCCUGGCAAUUAAUAAAAUAAAGAAUAAUAGGGUAUCUAAUCCUAGUUUAAGUCUUAAUUUUCAAAGAUAAUUCAUUCUGUUAUAACUUUUCAUUUAAAAAAAUAAAAAUUUUACCCUUAAUUUUUUAUUUAAAAAAUUUAUUUAAAACAAAUAUUUACUUCAUUCCACCAAUCUAUUUCAUUUAAAUCCUUCGUAUAACC